GACGGGACCCGCACAAGCGGUGGAUGAUGUGGAUUAAUUCGAUGCAACGCGAAAACCUUACCUACCCUUGACAUGUACGGAACCCUGCUGAGAGGUGGGGUGCUCGAAAGAGAGCCGUAACACAGGUGCUGCAUGGCUGUCGUCAGCUCGUGUCGUGAGAUGUUGGGUUAAGUCCCGCAACGAGCGCAACCCUUGUCAUUAGUUGCUACGCAAGAGCACUCUAAUGAGACUGCCGGUGACAAACCGGAGGAAGGUGGGGAUGACGUCAAGUCCUCAUGGCCCUUAUGGGUAGGGCUUCACACGUCAUACAAUGGUCGGUACAGAGGGUUGCCAACCCGCGAGGGGGAGCCAAUCCCACAAAGCCGAUCGUAGUCCGGAUUGCAGUCUGCAACUCGACUGCAUGAAGUCGGAAUCGCUAGUAAUCGCGGAUCAGCAUGUCGCGGUGAAUACGUUCCCGGGUCUU
rnacentral:rRNA from 1 species